AGUUACAAUCUAACUGUCUGCGCGCUGUCUCUUUUUCUCUGUAAUCUGAAAGUACUAAAAAAUAUAAAAUAAGUUUGUGUUUGACUUUUGUAUUCAUAUAUUUUAGCUUCAGCUUCCUCUGCUGAAACACCAGACGGAAACUCAUGUAUCUCUUUCCUUUAUAUUCUUUUUCACAUUUCUUCCAUUUAUUUUUAGUCGGUUUCGAAAGCAUAAAUAAACUCUCAAAAUCUCACCGGUUUCGAACCUAACAUCUGCCCUUCUCAUCCUCUGUCCAUCAUCUUGUAUUCUGAAUCCAGUGUUAACAUUAACAUUCUCUCUUUCACGAUACUUGCUUCUAUUCUUGAAACAUUGGUUCACAGUUUUACUGAACAGCUAGUUAGAAGCCUUUUUUAUUUUCUUCCAGGAGAGGAGUGGGUUAACGGAGGCAAGGAUAAGACAGG